GGGCCUCCUCUCUGCCCUCUUUUGUGGAGCCGGGGAACCCAGGGCCAGUUCCCUGCCUGCCAGCUGGUUUCCCGGACCCUGGACCAGCUGUGAGCGAGGGGGCGGGAGCAGCCGCUGGCCUCUGGGAAGUGGAAACCAGGAGUCAGGCAGCUGAGGCGGGCGGGUUUAGGCUGGGGCGAUGAGGCCAGCAGGCCCGGGCAGCAUUCUGGAGGAAUUUCUGAAUUACCUCCUGGCUGGAGACUGGAGGCCAGAGCGGGGGCCCUGGGCUGGUCCUGCUGGCUGCAGCCUUCCCGCCUCGGGCCUGUGUCUCUGCCCGCCUGCCUAGGCAUCGCAGCAUCCUCUGAUGGACCGAGCUGAGACCGCGGUCCUGAGUCAGAGGACUUGUGGGAUUGGAGCGCCCUCUGCUGGCAAGAUCGAGGACUAUUUACAAUAACGAAGACGUGGAAGCAACCUAAAUGUCCAUCGACAGAGGAGUGGAUAAAGAAGAUAUGGUAUAUAUACACUGAAGUAUUACUCAGCCAUAAAAGUGGACAAAACAGUGGCAUUGGCAGCAACAUGGAUGGACCUAGAGAUUGUCGUACUGAGCGAAGCAAGUCAGACAAGACAAAUACCAUGUGAUGUUGCUUAUAUGUGGAAUCUUACAAAAAUUGAACAAAUGAACUCAUUUAAAAUCAGAAGUAGAGUCACAGAUGUAGAAAACAAACUUAUGGUUACCA